GAUGAAGAACGCAGCGAAAUGCGAUAAGUAAUGUGAAUUGCAGAAUUCAGUGAAUCAUCGAAUCUUUGAACGCACAUUGCGCCCCCUGGUAUUCCGGGGGGCAUGCCUGUUCGAGCGUCAUUUCACCACUCAAGCCUCGCUUGGUAUUGGGCAACGCGGUCCGCCGCGUGCCUCAAAUCGACCGGCUGGGUCUUCUGUCCCCAAGCGUUGUGGAAACUAUUCGCUAAAGGGUGUUCGGGAGGCUACGCCGUAAAACAACCCCAUUUCUAAGGUUGACCUCGGAUCAGGUAGGGAUACCCGCUGAACUUAAGCAUAUCAAUAAGCGGAGGA
rnacentral:misc_RNA from 1 species